rnacentral:rRNA from 1 species
CAGAACGAACGCUGGCGGCAGGCUUAACACAUGCAAGUCGAGCGCCCCGCAAGGGGAGCGGCAGACGGGUGAGUAACGCGUGGGAAUCUACCUAGUUCUACGGAACAACUCAGGGAAACUUGAGCUAAUACCGUAUACGCCCUUCGGGGGAAAGAUUUAUCGGAAUUAGAUGAGCCCGCGUUGGAUUAGCUAGUUGGUGAGGUAAUGGCUCACCAAGGCGACGAUCCAUAGCUGGUCUGAGAGGAUGAUCAGCCACACUGGGACUGAGACACGGCCCAGACUCCUACGGGAGGCAGCAGUGGGGAAUAUUGGACAAUGGGCGCAAGCCUGAUCCAGCCAUGCCGCGUGAGUGAUGACGGCCUUAGGGUUGUAAAGCUCUUUCAACGGUGAAGAUAAUGACGGUAACCGUAGAAGAAGCCCCGGCUAACUUCGUG